rnacentral:tRNA from 1 species
GGCGAGGUGCCUGAGUGGCUGAAAGGGUCGGUCUCGAAAACCGAUAUGGUCGCAAGGCCAUCGUGAGUUCGAAUCUCACCCUCGCCG